AGCAUGUGGUUUAAUUCGAUGAUACGCGAGGAACCUUACCAAGACUUAAAUGUAUUUUGACAGGUUGAGAAAUCGACUUUUCUUCGGACAAUUUACAAGGUGCUGCAUGGUUGUCGUCAGCUCGUGCCGUGAGGUGUCGGGUUAAGUCCCAUAACGAGCGCAACCCCUAUUUUUAGUUACCAGCGAGUCAUGUCGGGAACUCUAGAAAGACUGCCUGUGUAAACAGUGAGGAAGGUGGGGAUG
rnacentral:rRNA from 1 species